rnacentral:lncRNA from 1 species
CAGCGGCGUCUCCAGUGCAGGCCGCCCGGGGACCGCGGGGUCACCAGGGCCCACGCCCAGAGGGGUUUUGCCCCAUCACAGGAAGGUGGCGAUGUGCAGGGACAAGUGGCAUUCCGAGAAGACGUGAUCCCUGGGGCACAGAGCUCGAGGAGGCUCCCUGGUGGAAGCCAGUCUGGCUGCACGAAUUGGCAGACGGAGAAGGGCGCGGAGCUGGAUGAGUGGUGGAUGCCGCAGGGAUGCUACCGUGAACCUCGGGCAAAGCCAUGUCACGGAGGGGAAUAGGCACAGUGCUGUUCAGCGGCCUCAGCCUCUCCAGAUCAACAGCCAAGCUCCUGAGAGUCACGCCACAGGCUUCCAGUGGCUUCUGUCAGCUUCUGCCGCUCCGUCCGCCGCAGCCUACAGACGCGUGAGCAGGAGCAGGUGUGCCAGGACCAGUUCUGAGUGGCGCUCAGAACACACGGGCGUCCCAGCUGCCUCGUUGGUCCCACUGUCCUCUAACCACAGGCCAGCUCAGCUCCUGUCCUCUCCGCACCCUGCCGAUGCACCCUUCUCCAGUCGGAUUCCGGGGCCGCCGUCAUCUCCAUCCUAACCGAUGCCCACCAGUGCUGCAUCCAUCCGUGUGCCCGUCUGUUUCUCCACCCAGGGCUGCGCGUUCCGACUGCCGCUGCCCAGCAACUGGAACUAUCCCAGGUGCAUCACACAUACAAAAUACGUCUCUGCUGAAUGAGUUGAGAGUUGAGUUUACUUGGAUGGGAGGAGAGAAUCUCGUAGUAUUAGAACUUGUUUUCCAAACCCACACUUAGAAUAUUUUACAAGGACUUACGUUUCAGACAGUGAACAAAAUAUCUACCAUUUAACUUAAUGCUUUCCAUUAUUGCUAAACUCCCUGUGCUAAAACCAACUCUAGAUGUCAGAUGUAACCCCAAAUUUUUGGCUGAUAUGACUUCCAUAAGAAUAUUUUGAAGGGUUAUUCAAUUUUGGGGUUUAAAACAAACAAAAAUUAAAAGCUCAAAAUAGUGUUCUCCAGAUACCUAAACAAUCUGGGGCGAGACCUGCCUCCAGUAGGAAGUAAAUGUCCGCAGAAAGUGAAUGCGUGGGAGGGGCCUGUUUGUUGAGUGUUUGCCCAGACUGCUUGUAAUAUUUGCAGAACACAGCACCUGCACAUGAACCCGCCUCACUUUACCGGUGCUUGGUGGUUUGUGUCUGAGUUAUCUUCAUGUGCACCGUCCCCCUGAGCAUCACGAUAUCCCCAGGAGGCAGACAGCACUACCCCUAUUGUAUGAGCAAGGAUUUAGAGGCUAAACGAGAAAAGUCCUGAAGCCCCCACCUCCACUCCAAUAUGGGGGAUUGAACCCAGGGCCUCUGCACUGAGCUACAGUCCCAGGCUUUUGUAUUCUGAGGCAAGGUCUCCCUAAAUCCUCAGUUGUUCAGGCUGGGCGUUUUUUUGGUACCAGGGAUCGAACUCGGGACCUUUCGCUUAUGAGGCAGGUGCGACACCACUGAGCUGAAUCCCUGGCAGGCUGGCCUUGAAUUUGGGAUCUUCCUGCCUCAGCCUCCGAGAGGGCCAGGAUUGCAGGUGUGCGCCACCUCCUCUUCACUUAUCUCCCUCCCGAAGUGGUGAUUCUGCCUUUCUUUGGACUUUGGCUUUUUCAUUUGUAUCUGCCAGACAGGGCAUUGAAGCUUUACACAAUUUCAAGCACGCUCUUACCACAAAAAACUCCAAACCAUUCACAUAAAGCUAGUGAGAAACGUAGCUCUGUGGCUUUCCGUGUGGUGAUUCGCUCAUCUUACCCGGUCCCCGUGCUAGGUGCUGGAUUGUCCCCAUUUCACACAGGAGAAAGCUGACAUGCGGUUUAGGCUUCCUCUUUCCUUGAUUCUCUUAACCUCUGGACAGUGCCAUCUCCGAGGCCACCCCAGCUCCCAACCCUCUGACCUGGGCAGCACAGCUGGGGGAGACCCACUUGGCUCCCCAGCCUCAAGGACAACACCCCCCUAGAGACCACAGCCUGCAGGUUGCCAUGGCGCCAGGGCCCAGAGCACCGAGCCCCUCCUUUGACUCUGCACCAUGACCCUGUGACACCCCAGCCACUGCUUCUGCACGGCCUCCAGAGCAGCCUCUCCCAGUGGGUUGGCUGGAGGAGUCCCGAGCCUGCACACAGGGCUCAGGGACACCAUAGCCAGGGGCUCGGAGGAGGCUGAGCCAGAGAUCACACAUCCUGAGGACUGAGUUCAGAGUCCACUGGAUUAAUCGUCUCCAGAUAUAAUCCAGGAAUCCCCA